UUCCUGGUGGUCCAGCGGUUAGGACUCUGCACUACCAAUGCAGGGGGCCCGGGUUCAAUUCCUGGUUAGGGAA